CGCCUCCCAAGUUCAAGAGAUUCUCCUGCCUCAGCCUCCCGAGUAGCUGGGAUUACAGCUAAUAAUCUGAGAGCAUCAACCAUUCACUACCCAUGCUGGCUGUGGAAAUGUAGCUGCAAAUAUCUAUAUACAUUAAUUUCAAAUGAUGUGACAAUAUUGAAAGAGCCAGAAAACAGGGUCUUACUCUGUCACUCAACCUCCACCGCCUGGGCUGAAGCGAUCCUCCCA